rnacentral:rRNA from 1 species
AUGCUCCAACUCCGGCACCGCAUCGUGUCCCAUAUCCGCUCCUCCUCCUCCACAUCUGCCAUCUCCCCACUCCACCGGCUCCUCUCUGCGGCGGCGGCCGCUGCCCCCAUUUCCCCGAGCCAAGGAUUCGCCGUUGAGGACUACCUCGUCGACGCCUGCGGCCUCACCCGGCCCCAAGCCCUCAAGGCCUCCAAGAAGCUCUCCCACCUCAACUCCCCCGCCAAGCCCGACGCCGUCCUCGCCUUCCUCGCCGGCCUCGGCCUCUCCGGCGCCGACGCCGCCGCCGUCGUCGCCAAAGACCCGCUCUUCCUCUGCGCCGGCGUGGAGAGAACAUUGGCCCCCGUCGUCGACGGCCUCGCCGGCCUCGGCCUGUCGCGCCCUGAGAUCGCCCGCCUCGUCUCGCUUGUCCACAGCCGCUUCCGCCGCAGAUCCAUAGUCCCCAAGCUGGAGUACUACCUGCCCCUCUUCGGCUCCUUCCACAGCUUCCUCCGGGCGUCCCAGCGCGCAUGCUACCUUCUCUCAUCGGACCUCGACAAGGUGGUCAAGCCCAAUGUCAUGUUCCUGCGGGAAUGCGGGCUAGCUGAUUGCGACAUUACCAAGCUGUGCAUCUCUGAGCCGAGGUUGCUCGGCAACAAACUGGAACGCGUCCAGGCAAUGGUGGCGCGCGCCGAAGGUCUGGGCGUGCCCCGUGGCUCGGGGAUGUUCAAGGUUGCGAUACAGGCUGUCGCAUUCCUCAGCGAGGAGAAGAUCGCCAACAAAGUGGACUACCUGAAGAAGACGUUCGGUUGGUCGGAUGCUGAGGUGGUCGUUGCUUUGUCUAUGGCUCCAAUGCUGCUCAACAGGUCAAAGGACAUCCUGCAGCGCAGGUUCGAGUUCCUUGUCUCUGAGGUGGGCUUGCAACCGGGGUACAUUGCUCAUCGGCCGGUAUUCCUCUAUUAUAGCCUGGAGGGCCGGAUCAAGCCCCGGUGCUAUGUUCUAAAGUUUCUCAAGGAAAACAGAUUGCUCGAUCGCGACUGGAGCUUCUAUACUGCAGUCACUAGGCCUGAGAAGUAUUUCAUAAAGAAGUGCAUAUGCCCUUACAAGGAAUCUGUACCACACCUUGCUGAAGAGUAUGCGGCAGCUUGCAGAGGGGAAAUGCCAAGUAAUUUCAGAUUUACUUGA